rnacentral:rRNA from 1 species
GACGAACGCUGGCGGCGUGCUUAACACAUGCAAGUCGAACGGAAAGGCCCUGCUUUUGUGGGGUGCUCGAUUGGCGAACGGGUGAGUAACACGUGAGUAACCUGCCCUUGACUUUGGGAUAACUUCAGGAAACUGGGGCUAAUACCGGAUAGGAGCUCCUGCUGCAUGGUGGGGGUUGGAAAGUUUCGGCGGUUGGGGCUGGACUCGCGGCUUAUCAGCUUGUUGGUGGGGUAGUGGCUUCCCAAGGCUUUGAAGGGUAGCCGGCCUGAGAGGGUGACCGGCCACCUGGGGCCUGAGAUAGGGACCAGAAGGCAACGGGCGGCAGCAGGGGGGAAUAUUGCGCAAUGGGGGGGAGCGUGUUGCAGCGACGCCGCGUGCGGGAUAACGUCCUUCGGGUGGUAAACCAAUGUGGCCGGUGACGAGGCGGGAGUGACGGUAAUGGGUAAAGAAGCACCGGCUAACUACGUG